rnacentral:lncRNA from 1 species
CUCUUUUUAAGUGUAUGAUGCUCCAUAUUAGUAUUUUAUGUGAAAAUAAGAAUAAACUUUAUUCUCUUCUGUUUUUAAUUCAAGAAAAAAAAUAGAAAUCUCUUCUGUUUGGAAUAUGUUUGGCUUAUCUGGUAACUACAUAUUUCCGGUUUGAUUGUUCUUGAUGUAUCAAGUUCUGGAAGGAAGAAGAAUUCAUAAAAGUCACUUAAAAAGAUUUAAGGAAAUCGUGGGAUCAGUCCUUUCCAAAGUUUCAUUAGAUUUAAGGAAGAAGAAUUCAUAAAAGAUCACUUAAAAAGAUGUUAAUCCCUCACUUUCAUCCAAGCACUUGAGAGAAGCCGCCUCACAAGAAGAUGCUGAGAUUAGAGUUAUCUCCAAAUUUUGCCUCCUAAUAGCCCAUAAAGGUGCUCUAGUUUUAGUUUAUUAAUGUCUGCCGCUCUGUCGAAUUUAGUUCUUGUGAAAAUUCUGGUGUUUUUAGAGGGUAAAGUCAUAUGAUCCACAUCAUUCACAAUGUUUCACUUUUACUUUUACUUUCAUGUACCUUAAAUAAAGACAAUGUUGUUUCGAUGCAGCAUCUAUCAAUUAGUUUGCAACUUUGAAAACUUUGAGCGAUUUUUACACAGGGUUACUGUUUGAU